rnacentral:rRNA from 1 species
GCGUGAGUGAUGACGGCCCUAGGGUUGUAAAGCUCUUUCACCGGUGAAGAUAAUGACGGUAACCGGAGAAGAAGCCCCGGCUAACUUCGUGCCAGCAGCCGCGGUAAUACGAAGGGGGCUAGCGUUGUUCGGAAUAACUGGGCGUAAAGCGCGCGUAGGCGGGCUGUUAAGUCAGGGGUGAAAUCCCGGGGCUCAACCCCGGAACUGCCUUUGAUACUGGCAGUCUAGAGUCCGGAAGAGGUGAGUGGAAUUCCGAGUGUAGAGGUGAAAUUCGU